UACGUAGGGUGCAAGCGUUAAUCGGAAUUACUGGGCGUAAAGCGCACGUAGGCGGAUAUUUAAGUCAGGGGUGAAAUCCCGGGGCUCAACCCCGGAACUGCCUUUGAUACUGGGUAUCUAGAGUCCAGAAGAGGUGAGUGGAAUUCCGAGUGUAGAGGUGAAAUUCGUAGAUAUUCGGAGGAACACCAGUGGCGAAGGCGGCUCACUGGGACGUGACUGACGCUGAGACGCGAAAGCGUGGGGAGCAAACAGG
rnacentral:rRNA from 1 species